GAUGAACGCUGGCGGCGUGCCUAAUACAUGCAAGUCGAGCGAACGGACGAGAAGCUUGCUUCUCUGAUGUUAGCGGCGGACGGGUGAGUAACACGUGGAUAACCUACCUAUAAGACUGGGAUAACUUCGGGAAACCGGAGCUAAUACCGGAUAAUAUUUUGAACCGCAUGGUUCAAAAGUAAAAGACGGUCUUGCUGUCACUUAUAGAUGGAUCCGCGCUGCAUUAGCUAGUUGGUAAGGUAACGGCUUACCAAGGCAACGAUGCAUAGCCGACCUGAGAGGGUGAUCGGCCACACUGGAACUGAGACACGGUCCAGACUCCUACGGGAGGCAGCAGUAGGGAAUCUUCCGCAAUGGGCGAAAGCCUGACGGAGCAACGCCGCGUGAGUGAUGAAGGUCUUCGGAUCGUAAAACUCUGUUAUUAGGGAAGAACAUAUGUGUAAGUAACUGCGCACAUCUUGACGGUACCUAAUCAGAAAGCCACGGCUAACUACGUG
rnacentral:rRNA from 1 species